rnacentral:tRNA from 1 species
GGGCCCGUAGCUCAGUUGGAUAGAGCACUUGCCUCCUAAGCAAGGGGUCGCAGGUUCAAAUCCUGUCGGGCCCG